GUCCAAACCGGGACUGCACGGUGCACCCGGCCCGGGCGCUUGGUGAGCAGGGAACACGCAGCUGCGACGGCGACAGUGACAGCACUGACUCGUGGUGAGCACCUGGCACGUGUCGGGCCACCUACUACUUUAUCCUCACGGCACCUUCAGGAGGGAGAAACGCUCAGUGUUUGUAGCCGAGGAAACGGAGGCUCAGAGAGGCACCGGCUAACCCCGGGAGGGGCAGUUGCUCCAGGUCAGCAGGGCCCCGAUAUCACAGCGUCAGAGCGUGGAAAACAGAAGGUGUUCACGGUCAUCCACAGGAGACAGACGUGUAACCAAUAACCACAGCACCGUGAGCUGCAGGUGCUGCCGGGAGGCGAGAGGGUUAAGUGACUCCGGGGAAUCCGGGAGAAGCGUGAGGAGCAGACGGCAUUGGUGUCUGUGGCUUGCAGGAUGCAUGAGAGCUCACCACGAGGAGGAAGCCGGAAAGCCA